rnacentral:rRNA from 1 species
GAUGAACGCUGGCGGCGUGCCUAAUACAUGCAAGUCGAGCGAAUGGAUUAAGAGCUUGCUCUUAUGAAGUUAGCGGCGGACGGGUGAGUAGCACGUGGGUAACCUGCCCAUAAGACUGGGAUAACUCCGGGAAACCGGGGCUAAUACCGGAUAACAUUUUGAACCGCAUGGUUCGAAAUUGAAAGGCGGCUUCGGCUGUCACUUAUGGAUGGACCCGCGUCGGAUUAGCUAGUUGGUGAGGUAACGGCUCACCAAGGCAACGAUGCGUAGCCGACCUGAGAGGGUGAUCGGCCACACUGGGACUGAGACACGGCCCAGACUCCUACGGGAGGCAGCAGUAGGGAAUCUUCCGCAAUGGACGAAAGUCUGACGGAGCAACGCCGCGUGAGUGAUGAAGGCUUUCGGGUCGUAAAACUCUGUUGUUAGGGAAGAACAAGUGCUAGUUGAAUAAGCUGGCACCUUGACGGUACCUAACCAGAAGGCCACGGCUAACUACGUGCCAGCAGCCGCCGUAA